rnacentral:rRNA from 1 species
GACAGAGGGUGCAAACGUUGUUCGGAAUUACUGGGCGUAAAGCGUGUGUAGGUGGCUGCGUAAGUCGGAUGUGAAAGCCCUGGGCUCAACUCAGGAAGUGCACUCGAUACUGCGUAGCUUGAGUACCGGAGAGGUUGGUAGAAUUCUCGGUGUAGAGGUGAAAUUCGUAGAUAUCGAGAGGAAUACCUGUGGCGAAGGCGGCCAACUGGACGAGUACUGACACUGAGACACGAAAGCGUGGGGAGCAAACAGG